ACUCCUACGGGAGGCAGCAGUGGGGAAUAUUGCACAAUGGGCGCAAGCCUGAUGCAGCCAUGCCGCGUGUAUGAAGAAGGCCUUCGGGUUGUAAAGUAACUUUCAGUCAGUGAGGGAAGGAUGGGUAUGUUAAUAGCAUAUUCAUUUGACGUUAGCUGCAGAAGAAGCACCGGCUAACUCCGUGCCAGCAGCCGCGGUAAUACGGAGGGUGCGAGCGUUAAUCGGAAUUACUGGGCGUAAAGCGCAUGCAGGCGGCCUGUUAAGUCAGAUGUGAAAGCCGGGC
rnacentral:rRNA from 1 species